GACAGAGGAUGCAAGCGUUAUCCGGAAUGAUUGGGCGUAAAGCGUCUGUAGGUGGCUUUUUAAGUCCGCCGUCAAAUCCCAGGGCUCAACCCUGGACAGGCGGUGGAAACUACCAAGCUGGAGUACGGUAGGGGCAGAGGGAAUUUCCGGUGGAGCGGUGAAAUGCGUAGAGAUCGGAAAGAACACCAACGGCGAAAGCAGGCAGCUGGGGAUGCACCGACGCUGAGACACGAAAGCCAGGGGAGCGAACGGG
rnacentral:rRNA from 1 species